GCCAUUUCUAUAUUGUACCACAAGAGUUUUGUUCAUAUUUAAGUCUAAAAACUGAGCCUCACAAUAUUUAUACAUUUUAGAAAUUGCGUCCGAAGCUUCCGCAGAAGUAGUGUGUAGGUCUUUACCUAUUGCUAUACAAGAUGUAUCAUCAGCAAAUUGACAGGCAGCGGCCCCAAUAUGGAUCCUUGAGGAACACCUUUUGAAAUGGUUAUUGGCUCAGACAACACAUUCAAGAUAGCGCCAUUACUGUUAUAAGUGAAACGAACUCUUUGAGACCUGUCGGAUAAAUAAGAUCGGAAAAGUUCUAAUGCAAUGCCUCUGACACCAAUAUUGAACAACUUGGUUAAUAAUAUUUCAUGAUCAAGUGUGUCAAAUGCUUUAGUAAGGUCAAAAUAAAUACCGAUGACUGAUU